GGAAGAGGUGGUGCGCGGAGCGGGGGGAAGAGGGGGGGGGGUAGAGUUGUUCGGAAGUACUGGGAGGAAAGGGAACGUAGGCGGAACAGAAAGGCAGAGGUGAAAUCCCAGGGCUCAACCUUGGAACUGCCUGUGAAACUCCUGUUCUUGAGGUCGAGAGAGGUGAGUGGAAUUCCGAGUGUAGAGGUGAAAUUCGUAGAUAUUCGGAGGAACACCAGUGGCGAAGGCGGCUCACUGGCUCGAUACUGACGCUGAGGUGCGAAAGCGUGGGGAGCAAACAGGAUUAGAUACCCGUGUAUC
rnacentral:rRNA from 1 species